CCCCUGGUGGUCCAGUGGCUAGGACUCUGCUCCCAAUGCAGGGGGCCCGGGUUCGAUCCCUGGACAGGGAA
rnacentral:tRNA from 1 species